rfam:Aedes aegypti strain Liverpool supercont1.53 genomic scaffold, whole genome shotgun sequence.
CCUCUCUUGGUGUAGGGGUAACGCGCCCUAACUAGAGCUCAGGGAGUCGUGAGUUCGAUUCUCACCGAGAAGA